rnacentral:rRNA from 1 species
CCUACGGGAGGCUGCAGUGGGGAAUCUUGCGCAAUGGCCUGACGGCUGACGCAGCGACGCCGCGUGUGGGAGGACGCCCUUCGGGGUGUAAACCACUGUUGCCCGGGACGAACCGGACUAUUCGUAGUCCCUGACGGUACCGGGUGAGGAAGCACCGGCUAACUCCGUGCCAGCAGCCGCGGUAAUACGGAGGGUGCGAGCGUUGUCCGGAAUCACUGGGCGUAAAGGGCGCGUAGGUGGCACGGCAAGCGUGCGGUGAAAGCCCGGGGCUCAACUCCGGGUCGGCCGUGCGAACUGCGGUGCUGGAGCACGGUAGAGGCAGGUGGAAUUCCGGGUGUAGCGGUGGAAUGCGUAGAGAUCCGGAAGAACACCGGUGGCGAAGGCGGCCUGCUGGGCCGUGGCUGACACUGAGGCGCGACAGCGUGGGGAGCAAACAGGAU